UACGUAGGGUGCAAGCGUUGUCCGGAAUUAUUGGGCGUAAAGAGCUCGUAGGCGGUUUGUCGCGUCUGCUGUGAAAACGCGAGGCUCAACCUCGCGCCUGCAGUGGGUACGGGCAGACUGGAGUGUGGUAGGGGAGAUUGGAAUUCCUGGUGUAGCGGUGGGAUGCGCAGAUAUCAGGAGGAACACCGAUGGCGAAGGCAGAUCUCUGGGCCGUAACUGACGCUGAGGAGCGAAAGCGUGGGGAGCGAACAGG
rnacentral:rRNA from 1 species